CAGCUAUGAGGGUUCGACUUAGCCAUGCAAGUCCUGGGGUUUUCUUCGGAAAACACCGGCAAAAUGCUCAGUGACACGUCGAUAAUCUGCCUUUAGGUUCAGGAUAACCUUGGAAAACUGAGGCUAAAACUGAAUAAGGGAUUAUUAUCUGGAAUGAUUUAUCCCCUAAAAGCAAUGCCUAAAGAUGAGUCGGCGGCGGAUUAGAUUGUUGGUGGGGUAACGGCCCACCAAGUCGAAGAUCCGUAGGGGCCUUGAGAGAGGUAGCCCCGAGAAGGGUACUGAAACACUGACCCUAGCCCUACGGGGUGCAGCAGGCGCGAAACCUUUACAAUGCACGAAAGUGUGAUAAGGGGACCCUCAGUGCUUUACUUACGUAAGGCUUUUGCCAAAGCUAAAUCCUUUGGCGAAUAAGUGGUGGGAAAGACUGGUGCCAGCAGCCGCGGUAACACCAGCGCCACAAGUGGCAAUCACAUUUAUUGGGCCUAAAGCGUCCGUAGCCGGCUUGAUAAAUCCUCUGUGAAAUUGUCGGGCUUAACUUGACAACGUGCAGGAGACACUGUCAGACUUGGAAUCGGGAGGGGUUAGGAGUAUUUUGAGGGAAGCGGUAAAAUGCAAUAAUCCUCAAAGGACUGCCUGUGGCGAAGGCGCCUAACCAGAACGAAUUCGACGGUGAGGGACGAAAGCCAGGGGAGCAAACCGGAUUAGAUACCCGAGUAGUCCUGGCCGUAAACUCUGUGAGCUAGGUGUAGCACAUCUUUCGUGGAUGUGCUGUGUCGAAACGAAGGUGAUAAGCUCACCGCCUGGGAAGUAUAGUCGCAAGGCCGAAACUUAAAGGAAUUGGCGGGGGAGCACCACCAGGGGUGCGGCGUGCGGUUUAAUCUAAUUCAACGCAGAGAAUCUCACCAGAGGCGACGGCAGGAUGAAAGUCAGGCUGAAGACCUUACUUGACGAGCCGAGAGGUAGUGCAUGGCCGCCGUCAGCUCGUGCCGUAAGGUGUCCUGUUAAGUCAGGCAACGAGCGAGACCUGUACCUACAAUUGCUAACGAGUCUUUUCGGAUGAUCGAGCACAUUGUAGGGACUGCCCGUGAAAAUGGGAGGAAGGUGCAGGCUACGGUAGGUCUGUAUGCUCCGAAUCCUCUGGGCUACACGCGCGCAACAAUGGUAUGGACAAUGGGAUGCAACUCCGAAAGGAGGAGCUAAACCUCUAAACCAUAUCCAAGUUCAGAUUGAGGGCUGUAACUCGCCCUCAUGACGAUGGAAUCCCUAGUAAUCGGAAGUCAACAUCUUCCGGUGAAUAUGUCCCUGCUCCUUGCACACACCGCCCGUCAAACCAACCGAGCAGGGUUUAGGUGAGUAUCAGGCUUUUACCUGGUCCGAAUCUAAGCUCAGUGAGGUGGGUUAAGUCGUCACAAGGUA
rnacentral:rRNA from 1 species